UACGGAGGGAGCUAGCGUUGUUCGGAAUUACUGGGCGUAAAGGGCGCGUAGGCGGCCUUUUUAGUCAGACGUGAAAUCCCCCGGCUUAACCUGGGAACUGCGUCUGAUACUGGGAGGCUAGAGUUCGGGAGAGGGAUGUAGAAUUCCAGGUGUAGCGGUGAAAUGCGUAGAUAUCUGGAGGAAUACCGGUGGCGAAGGCGGCAUCCUGGACCGAAACUGACGCUGAUGCGCGAAAGCUAGGGGAGCAACAGGGG
rnacentral:rRNA from 1 species